UGGCCUAGGACUUCAAUCCUUGUUGAAUGUCUCCUUCUGUCUCCCCUCACAGCAACUGCCACAGCUCCUGAUGUGUUUCCGUUGUCCCCCUGUUGCCAAGACCAAUCUGAGGACAACAUCACCGUCGGAUGUCUUGUCACUGGCUACUAUCCUGAGCCGGUUUCAGUAGAAUGGAAUUCAGGAGCCAUCACCACUGGCAUCAAGACCUUCCCGCCGGUGGUCCAGCAAUCCAGUGGCCACUAUACCCUCAGUAGUCAGCUCACCAUCCCUACUGCCACAUGGAACUCUGAGGACAUUCAGUGCCAUGUUACCCAUGCUGCUACCAGCUCUUCAAUCAACCAGGAGAUUGAACACUGCGCUUCACAUGAACCGCUGGCUCCCCAAGUUCAACUGCUCCACUCCUCCUGCGACUCCAGAUCCCCUGACCCCAUCAUUGAGCUCGUGUGCAUCGUCUCAGGAUUCUUCCCCAAACAGGUGAAGGUAGAUUGGUUGGUGGGCACGCAAAGCAAGACGUCGUACUCCGUCACUGAUCUUCCAAGGAAAGAUGCUGAUGGAUACACCUUCAGUACCACCAGCAGGCUCAAUGUGAGCCAAGCAGAUUGGAUGGCAGGAACCGUCUACACCUGCAAGGUGAACCACGCAGGCUCUCAAACCCAGCUAGAAAGAAGAGCCAAGAAAUGUGAAGACGACAGCAACUGCCCAUCCGGCGACAUCUUCAUCUACCUUCAACACCCCACCCCCGAAGACCUGUACAUAAAUAGGGACGCCAAGAUCAGCUGCGUGGCCGGCAACCUGAAGAGUGAAGAGGGGCUGAAACUGACCUGGGCGAGAGAGAAGCAAGGGGCCCUGAAACCUGAGCCCCUGAAUGUGACCGCUGAAUCGAACGGGACCUACACCGCUGUAGGUAAUCUGCCCAUCACUGUCCAAGACUGGAUAGAAGGUGGGGCUUUCACCUGUACGGUCGUACACCCAGAUUUGUCUGCGCCCGUCACUCGGAGGAUUGCCAAGAGCUCAGGCAAGAGAACUCCCCCCAGUGUCUACGUCUUCCCACCCCACCAGGGCGAGCUCAGCUCUCAAAAUCAAAUGUUGACCCUCACCUGCAUGGUCAAAGGCUUCACUCCAAAGGAUAUCUCUGUCCAGUGGCUGAAGGAUAACAACGCUUUACCUGACGAUGCGCAUAUCAACACCCCGGUCUUGAAGGACAACCGGGAAGAUACCUACUUCCUUUACAGCCAGCUGGCCGUCCCCAGGAAUGACUGGGUCAGAGGCUCCUCAUACACCUGCAUGGUCGUCCAUGAAGCCUUCACCAUGAAGUUCAUCCAGAGGACCGUGGAGCAAUCGCAGGAGAUAAAUGCGUCGAUAGAGAACGAUUAUAAUGAUGAGAAAGAAGAGCUGGAACACCUGUGGGCCACCAUCUUUGUUUUUUUCAUUCUUUUCCUCCUCAGCGUGUGCUACAGCGCAAUGGUGACAAUGGUCAAAGUGAAAUGGCUUUUCUCCACCAUGAUGCAUUUAAAGAAGCCUCCAGGCCCUGACUACAAGAACAUCCUACAGCGUCCGAUAUGAAAAUCAUACUGUUCCUCUUCAGAGGUACAAAGCAGAAACCAUGGGGCAGGACCAGGCCUCCAUUUUCAGUAGGAUGACCCCAGGCCCUCUCGUUGAGCAAUUUCUUUUCCUUGACCGGUGCCCUGAAGUCCCAUCAACACAAAGUCUCUUCUGGAGAAAGCAAUCCUGCUAGAACUUGGAAUAACAUUGAUUGUACUUCUAGUCUUAUUACAUGCUGCUGGCAGUUUUACCUUA